UUAAACUGAAGAGUUUGAUCAUGGCUCAGAUUGAACGCUGGCGGCAGGCUUAACACAUGCAAGUCGAGCGGUAACAGGGGAAGCUUGCUUCCCGCUGACGAGCGGCGGACGGGUGAGUAAUGCUUAGGAAUCUGCCCAGUAGUGGGGGAUAGCCCGGGGAAACCCGGAUUAAUACCGCAUACGUCCUACGGGAGAAAGCAGGGGAUCUUCGGACCUUGCGCUAUUGGAUGAGCCUAAGUCGGAUUAGCUAGUUGGUGGGGUAAAGGCCUACCAAGGCGACGAUCCGUAGCUGGUCUGAGAGGAUGAUCAGCCACAUCGGGACUGAGACACGGCCCG
rnacentral:rRNA from 1 species